AGAGUUUGAUCCUGGCUCAGGACGAACGCUGGCGGCGUGCCUAAUACAUGCAAGUCGAGCGAAUCAAUAGGAGCUUGCUCCUGUUGGUUAGCGGCGGACGGGUGAGUAACACGUGGGCAACCUGCCUGUAAGACUGGGAUAACACCUGGAAACCGGUGCUAAUACCGGAUAAUUCUUUCCCUCUCAUGAGGGAAAGCUGAAAGUCGGUUUCGGCUGACACUUACAGAUGGGCCCGCGGCGCAUUAGCUAGUUGGUGAGGUAACGGCUCACCAAGGCGACGAUGCGUAGCCGACCUGAGAGGGUGAUCGGCCACAUUGGAACUGAGACACGGUCCAGACUCCUACGGGAGGCAGCAGUGGGGAAUAUUGCACAAUGGGCGAAAGCCUGAUGCAGCAACGCCGCGUGAGUGAUGAAGGCCUUCGGGUUGUAAAGCUCUGUCUUUUGGGACGAUAAUGACGGUACCAAAGGAGGAAGCCACGGCUAACUACGUGCCAGCAGCCGCGGUAAUACGUAGGUGGCAAGCGUUGUCCGGAUUUACUGGGCGUAAAGGAUGCGUAGGUGGAUAUUUAAGUGGGAUGUGAAAUACCCGGGCUCAACUUGGGUGCUGCAUUCCAAACUGGAUAUCUAGAGUGCAGGAGAGGAAAGUGGAAUUCCUAGUGUAGCAGUGAAAUGCGUAGAUAUUAGGAGGAACACCAGUGGCGAAGGCGGCUUUCUGGACUGUAACUGACACUGAGGCAUGAAAGCGUGGGGAGCAAACAGGAUUAGAUACCCUGGUAGUCCACGCCGUAAACGAUGGGUAC
rnacentral:rRNA from 1 species